rnacentral:rRNA from 1 species
UACGUAGGUGGCGAGCGUUGUCCGGAUUUACUGGGCGUAAAGGGCGUGCAGGCGGUCUGCUAAGUCUAGGGUGAAAGCUCCCGGCUCAACUGGGAGAGGUCCUUGGAUACUGACAGACUUGAGGGAGGCAGAGGAGAAUGGAAUUCCCGGUGUAGUGGUGAUAUGCGUAGAUAUCGGGGAGGAACACCGGUGGCGAAGGCGGCAUCCUGGGACCAACACGUGACGCUGAGGAGCGAAAGCCAGGGGAGCAAACGGG